CCGCUCCCGCUCACGAUCCCCUCAGUCGUCUUCUCCACUUGCCUCUUCCUCUCUUGAUCGCAGAAAAUUUUUGAAUCCGAUCUCUACCCCAACCUUUUGAAACACUACGAUUCUGAGUUCGAUUCCUGUCACGGCUCCCCUUUCCUCAUCGCCCUUCGCUUCAACCUUCUCUUCUAUCAGUGCCACUGUCUAACUCGUGUGUCCUAAACCCUAAUCUUCAACAACUUCUUGAGUCUGCUACUCCAUUGGGUUCAAGAGAUAUAUCACUACUUUCUCUGUGGCUUUCGUUGGGACUAUAGGGUGAUGGGGUUGAUUAUGAUUUAGUGGUUGUUGAUGCCGUGCACAAAGAAAACUGUGCAAGCCGCAUUUGCCAUGCUUACCCAUCUAAUUGUGAAGCAAAGUAAGUUCUUUUAGCAAUAUGUGUGUUUUUCCCCUUGCAGUUCAUGAUAUUGAAGGGGUUGUUCAGAACUUCGAGCAUACAAACAUUGUAAUUUCCAUCAUUUUUCUUUCUCUUCUAUCACCUCCAACUGAGAUUAUUUUUACAAUUCUUGUGGUUUCCUUUAUUUGGUGUUCUUCCAUUUGUAUUGCUCAUUUUGUAGAUAAAAUUUAUUCCUUACGAAAACAUACAUGACCAUUGUCGAAAAUCAAAGGGUUGGUCAAAAUCAGUUGCAUGUCUAAAAUGAAGUCUUUCCAGCUUAACUCUCCUUUAACCAGAUGCACAUCAAUCUUUCGUAGAUCAUUUUUGGAAUUGAGUGUAGCAACCCAACAGUUUACUUGUAGAACUUACUAGGGAAAAAUCUAGAAUGAGGUGAACUGAGGUGGGACUUGUCUACAGUGUACUUGGUAUGGUCAUUUUGUACUAUUCAUUUUAAAUAUUUUGUUUUCUAUAUUGUCAUGACUUUGGUCCAAAGCUUAUCAAGAAGAUUAUUGCUUUGGUUUCAACUUAUGUUUACUGAAUAAUAAGUUUGAUGAACCUGGCCUAAUAAUGAGAUUUG